CAGUAGCCGCGGGAAAACGGAGGGUGCAAGCGUUAUCCGGAUUUAUUGGGUUUAAAGGGUCCGUAGGCGGAUCUGUAAGUCAGUGGUGAAAUCUCACAGCUUAACUGUGAAACUGCCAUUGAUACUGCAGGUCUUGAGUAAAUUUGAAGUGGCUGGAAUAAGUAGUGUAGCGGUGAAAUGCAUAGAUAUUACUUAGAACACCAAUUGCGAAGGCAGGUCACUAAGAUUUAACUGACGCUGAUGGACGAAAGCGUGGGGAGCGAACAGGAUUAGAUACCCCCGUAGUCCCUGUCUCUUAUAC
rnacentral:rRNA from 1 species